UUGAUUAGGCUGCUGAUGCAUUGAAAAAAGAAGUUGUUUUUGAUGGGCUGCACGGUUGGGCUUAUUGAUAGAUGAUGUGCGUUUUGGAGAAAGGAAACCACAAAUUGAGCCACUGCAUUUGGAAUUACUUGGAGGCAAUUGGCUGGAAUUGGGCUGCUCUAUUUGGGCUUGCUCCUUUAAGUGAAGCUGCGCGUUUUGAGCCAUUGCUGCUUCAGAGGGGUCUUUGGGGGAGAAUUCAUUUUCAGAAAAUGAUCUUUAGAGCAAAGUUCAACAUGAGAGGAGAAUGAACCCUUGACUUAGGGCC
rnacentral:lncRNA from 1 species